AGAGUUUGAUCAUGGCUCAGAAUCAACGCUGGCGGCGUGCCUAACACAUGCAAGUCGAGCGAGAAAGGGUAGCAAUACCUGAGUACAGCGGCGCACGGGUGAGUAACACGUGGAUAACCUGCCUCAAAGUGGGGGAUAACACCGGGAAACCGGUGCUAAUACCGCAUAUUCUGACGAGAUCUGAGGGUUUUGUCAGGAAAGGGGCAAUUCGCUAUGAGAGGGGUCCGCGGCUGAUUAGCUAGUUGGUGAGGUAAUGGCUCACCAAGGCAACGAUCAGUAGCCGGUCUGAGAGGACGGUCGGCCACGCUGGAACUGAGACACGGUCCAGACUCCUACGGGAGGCAGCAGUGGGGAAUUUUUGGCAAUGGGCGAAAGCCUGACCAAGCAACGCCGCGUGGAUGAUGAAGUAUCUCGGUACGUAAAAUCCUUUCGACGGGGACGAAACCGCAAGGUUGACGGUACCCGUAGAAGAAGCCCCGGCUAACUCCGUGCCAGCAGCCGCGGUAAUACGGGGGGGGGCAAGCGUUGUUCGGAAUUACUGGGCGUAAAGGGCGCGUAGGCGGCCUGCUAAGUCGGGUGUGAAAACUCUGGGCUCAACCCAGAGCCUGCAUUCGAAACUGACGGGCUUGAGUUCUGGAGGGGAAAGCGGAAUUCCUGGUGUAGCGGUGAAAUGCGUAGAUAUCAGGAGGAACACCGGUGGCGAAGGCGGCUUUCUGGACAGAAACUGACGCUGAUGCGCGAAAGCUAGGGGAGCAAACAGGAUUAGAUAUCUCUGGUAGUCC
rnacentral:rRNA from 1 species